rnacentral:lncRNA from 1 species
CAUUUGUUGAAUGUUACAGAUCUAUAUUGGCAACUGAGAAAAGGGCGGGCUAUAGGAUUGCCUAGGUUUGGCAUGACUACCGAUCAUUCUAAAACGAGGAGCUCAAAUCAAUUUACCAAAAAUUACGGAAGGCAUACGUGUUACCUGUAACAAUGUCCCUGAAGAACUCAACGGACUCCGUCAACUCCUCUGCCGUCUUACCCUUCCACUUAACGGCGAGCAGAGGUACGACGUUAUCCUCCAAGUAUAGUCCAAUCGCCGUGAACUUCACGAAGUUCCCCUGAAUCUCCAACCCUCUCACCCCUGUGCACUUUAGCAACCAAAAUACAGUCAAGCGGAAGCAAAAGCAAGCAACAAGCAUUCAAACAAUCAGAAUCGCAAAAAAUAUGUAUGAACUAACACUGUAACACAAUCUUCGACAAAAAAGAAAAAUACAAUGUAAUAGAAUUCAAGUAAUAUCAAAAAAUCCUAGCGAAUGAACAAUAAAUAUGUAUGAACUAACACUAAAAUAGAUAUGAAAAAAUCCUAAGAAAUUAACAAUGGAUAAGGCUGAACUUUGUUUAAAACCCGUUAGUGUGUGAUUGUUUGGCUUUUUAUAAAAAACCCUUACCAAAAACCAUUAUCAAAGACCCUUACAUAUAUGUAUUCACUGUUCAACCUUUUGUUUUUAAUUAGUGUUCUUAAAAAAUAAAAUAAAAAACUAAAACUAAAAAUCCUAACAGAUUAACAAUAAAUAUGUAUGAACUAACACUAAGAAUAAGUAUGAACUAACAUUAAACUAGAAAACUUACAGAAAUUCUGAAAUUGUUGUUGGUGGCCUUCGCUGGCUUGGGUGGCGUGAGGAAUAGGCAAUUAGGUAUAUUAUAUUUGAUAAAGUUGAAUUUAAUUGAAAGCAGACUAAUGAAAAGCCAUGGGCUUUUAUUAAAUUUCAAAUUGUUUGACUUUUUAAUAAAAGAUGGUGAGUGCUAUCAAGUGGGUUUUAAAUUUUUUUAAUAACUUGGCUCAAAACAACGUCGUUUUGGUCAAGUCAUUAAAAAAAAAAAACCUUUCUUCUUCCUCCUUCAGUUUUGCACAGCGCAGCAACCAUGGCUGCUGCUCUUCUCUACCACUGCCCAGACUUGGGUGGUCCUAGGAGGUUCUCACAGCCAUUUAUCUUAGCUUCUCUUUGGUCCCGAGACCACUUUGGUCCCUUAGUAAAUCCGCCUCUGCACCUUAUAUAGUAAAUUUAAUUAAUUCAUAUAAUAGAUAACAAAUUUACCUAAAUCCGUCUAGACGGCCUAGGUGCGCUCGCCUAGAUCCCGCCUAGCCGACUAGGCACUAGGCGCCAGCCCAUCGCCCAACCAGCGCCUAGCGUUUUUUAGAACCUUGGUUUACAUGUCAAUAAUGUUAUAAUCCAACGUGUCAAUAAUGUUACAAUCCAACGUGUUAUAUUUCAUCUAAUUUUAUAUUUCAUGUAAUUUGGUUUGAUGCUGCUAAUCUUUCUGUUGUUGAAGGAUUUAGAUUGUGUAACAAUUGAUUAGUUUGCAGGAGAAUCAAGGGGAAUUUAUCAAAUAUAGCCAAAAUUUAGCCUUUAAUUUCAAAUAUCUCAAUUUUUAUAAAUAUUUUCAAAUAUAUCUAAAAUCUCACUUAAAUAGACACAAAUACUCUCAAAUUUAAAAACCAAAUAAACAAAAGAACCAAAACUCUAUUAGGUGAAAAAUUAGAGAAUUUGACAGCAAAACCCUAGGCAUAAGAAAUGGUGGAGACAUGUGCAUAAGAGAGUGAAGGCAUCGGUUAGUAGGAAACGGUGGAGACUUGUGUAGCUGUAAACGACGGUGAGUGUAGAUGGUUAAUUUUCUUGCAUAUUUUCUUGUCUAUGUUUUUUCUUUGCUUUUGUUGUUCUUCCUUUGAUUAAAUAUUUAUUGAAGAAUGAAUUGUCAAUCCUUGUUUACGUUUUCUCUUUGUCAGACGUUGUACCACAACACUUGUAGGUAAAUUUUUGGAUUUUGCACUUGUUUGUGUUUGCUUUAGAUUUGCGGUGGACCUCAUGGAGUAAAUCAUAGCUCUUCCUGUGUAUUACGGUGUUUAUGAAUUUGUUAGUGCAAGUUGAGCAAGAUCAACCAGUUUUUCAUGCCGCAUUUACAAACAGAAUCAAUCACCUUCAUAGUCCUCAAUUCAUGAGUCAGCAACACUUUGAUUGUAGCACUAGAAGUCUUUUAGUCAAUAACUAAUUAUUCAAAGAAAUUGAGGGUAUUUGUGUCUAUUUAAGUGGAAUUUUGGAUAUAUUUGAAAGUUUUUAUAAAAACUGUCAUUUAUGAAAUUAAGGGUCAAUUUUCGGCUAUAUUCGAUAAAUUCUCAUAAUCAAGUGACACAAAGAAGGAUCGAAACAAGUGGGGUGGUGGAGAAAAGGAUUGUUCACUCUUGAUGCUUGGUUCUAAGGCCAUCUCCAACCGAAGGUUGGCCAAAACCCUCUAAGAAAUUAAUAUUUUAAUGAACAGUGUAGGGCCAUAUUCCUUAGGCCAUCUCCAACCGAAGGAUCCAGAGGGCCAGACGCCCGAAAAUUAUCUCCAACCGAGGGCUAGGCCAGAGAGGUCGUGGAAUUUUAGAGGGCUCCACGGAAUCUGAAAGGGCUUGAUGGCUGUAGGGCUGGCUACGGCUGGCCAGAAAAUUGAUUAAUCUUGUCGAUUAUAACCGACAGUAAUACAUUUAUAUUAAAUACAAUAAAUGUAUUCUUGUCGGUUAUAACCAACAGGAAUUCUUAAAAAGACUUUUGAAUCCAACGGCUAGCUGGCUCCAGUUACCAAUGGAUUCAAGUUUUUUGUUUUUUUUUAGGUUUUUUGGGGCUUUUGGUGAAACACCCUAACCCCAUUUUAUUUAAAAAUUGUUUUAAAGCCUUAAUUGGUGAGCCCGUGGGACCCACUUUGUUUUAUUUUUUUUGUGUUUCCCGGUCUCUUUCUCUCCUAUCCCAGUUCUCUUUCUUCCUCUUCUUCUUCCCUUUCCCGUAUACCCCUCUCAACUCUCUCUCUCCAUCUCUAUCAACGUGAACACCCACCACCAUAAUCACCGCAGCUACUCUACUCGAGAACAUCAUCAUCAUCAAGCACUGCUCUAGUCUUUCUUCCAUCGCAGCGAGAUUGGUGAAAGCAGAGAAAAGGAACCUCCGGCGAGCACCGCCCCUUUUGAGGCUAUUUCAGGCCAAACCACGGUGAUUUGGCCGGCGUGUAAGGUAUCAAUUUCUUCGUCUCGUCGAGAACUACAACUUUCCUUUUUGUUUCACUUGAUUUCGUUGAGUAUUGAAGAAGUUAUACUCAUUUGAAUCUUACCCAGUUUCCAGCGACCUCAGUGGCUUUCGAGGCAUUUUCCGGCCAAACCAUGGCAAGUUGGAUGUCGUGUAAGGUAUCAUUCUCUUCGUCUCUUCAAGGGAUACAACUUUAUUUUUUGUCUCGCUUGAUUUCGUUGAGUAGUGACCAAGUUAUAGCCGUUUAAAGUUGGGUGGUUUUCCGGCCGAAUCUCCGGCCUUCUUCUUCGGCAAAACCAGGCCUCUCAGGCCCUUUAGAAAACCCCACGGGCCUUAAGCCUGUUAUAUCUUAGCCCAAAACCCCAGCCCACAUCCUUUUUGUUUUUGUUUAUUUGUUUUUAAAAACCCAAAGGCCUUGGGCCGGUUUUUGGUUAAGGGGCUCUAAGCCCAACCCUUUAAUAAGGCCUUAGGGUCGGCCUCUGUGUGUGUGUGUGUGUGUGUUGUGUGGGUUGUGCACUGCAUGUGCAGCCCGUGUGUGUGUGUGUGUGUUUGUUUGUGGUGUGUGUGUGUGUGUGUGUGUGUGUUUGGGGUUUAAGCCCAAACCACAUUUCUUCACCCUAAACCCUUUUAACCCAAAAACCUUAGAAAACCCAAAACCCAAUAUAUCCUAAUCCUAUUUAACCUAAACCCUAAUCCGGAUUUCAAGCCUAAAACCCGAUAGACCUAAUUUGACUAUUGACCCCCGGUCAACGUUGACUUUAGGGUUAACUUUUCAGGUUUUCGUCCGGGACCCUUCUUAGGGUAAUUCGACAUAUUCAAGAUGAUAUUCCUUGGUGUAUGCUUCUCGCAGACGAUAUAGUGUUGAUAGAUGAAACUCAGGAAGGGGUAAAUGCAAAGCUUAACCUUUGGAGAGAAGUGUUGGAAUCUAAAGGUCUUCGCCUAAGCUGAUCAAAGACAGAAUAUAUAGAGUGCAAGUUCAGUGCAAAUGGAGGCCAAAACGAGUUAGGGGUGAGGAUCGGAGAUCAAGAAAUACCAAAGAGCGAUCGUUUUCGUUACCUAGGAUUUAUCUUGCAAAAGAACGGAGAAUUAGAUGGAGAUCUCAACCAUAGAAUACAAGCUGGAUGGAUGAAGUGGAAGAGUGCAUCCGGCGUAUUGUGUGACCGUCGUAUGCCACUGAAGCUCAAGGGAAAAUUUUAUAAGACGGCAAUAAGGCCGGCGAUGCUGUAUGGCACAGAAUGUUGGGCGGUGAAGCAUCAACAUGUACACAAAAUGGGUGUAGCGGAGAUGAGGAUGCUUCGUUGGAUGUGUGGGCACACAAGAAAGGAUAAGAUUAGGAAUGAGGAUAUCCGGGGUAAAGUAGGAGUAGCCGAAAUUGAAGGAAAGAUGAGAGAAAAUCGGUUACAGUGGUUUGGACAUGUGCAAAGAAGGCCUAUUGACGCUCCGAUUAGAAGAUGCGACUAUGGGACAGAGGUUCAGGGCCGAAGGGGUAGAGGAAGACCUAGGAAAACUUUGGAAGAGACUCUAAGAAAAGACUUAGAGUACUUGGAUCUAACGGAGGACAUGACACAGGACCGAGCACAAUGGCGUUCAAAGAUUCAUAUAGCCGAUCCCACUCAGUGACUUCGAUUUUCCAAGUCUCCAACCGAGAAGUUUUCCUCACUCGGGAAAUUAAGGGAAUACUACCUCAACCUACAUGCUCCACUCACAAAGCUUUAACAUACAAGCUUCAACAAAAGAAAAUUCAGAGAACUUAGCGAAGAAGGCUUUGGUGUAUUCAACACAAUACGUUGAAAUGAAGGAAAGCUAUUUAUUGAUAUCCCCGAUAAGUCACAAAUAUGUACAUAUACAUGAGUCAAAAUAAACAAACAAGAGGGAGCCUUCACAAAGGUUGCUUAGGAGAAGUCUCAGUAGUCGGUAGAGCCCCAGAAAGAGCAGGCACUGGAGGGGGAUCAUUUGGAGCCUCAGUACUGGACAGAACCCUAGAAGGAGGAGGCAGCAGAGGUUGAUCAUUUGGAGCUUCAUUACGCGGUAUAGCCCCAGAAGACGAAGGCAAUAAAUGCCUUUGGAACAAACCCACAAAUCUCUGAUGAUCAAGUAAAACCUGACCAUCAGAUUCCUUCAUCUGGUCAAGCUUCCUCUUUAUGUUUGUAGCAUAGUCAUGUGCGAGCCGGUACAACUGUUUAUUCUCAUGCUUGAGCCCUCUAAUCUCCUGUUUGAGACUCAUCACUUCAGCCGCCAAUGAUUCAACUUGGCGGGUUCGAGCAAAUAGGCGUUGGGCCAUGUUAGACACAGAACCUGCACACUGAACACUGAGAGCCAGAGAAUCCUUAACAGCCAAUUCAUCAGACCGUUUGGAAAGUAGUCUGUUAUCUUUGGGAGUGAGAAGGUUCCUGGCCACUACCGCAGCGGUCAUAUCAUUCUUCAUCACGGAAUCCCCAACAGUAAGAGGACCAGUAGGGGAGACGAAGGAUGGGCGCCAUAUGUUGUCUGGAGAAGGCGUGGCUGCCUCUUCAACAAGGUUCAAGUCAAAACGACGGUCGGAGGGGCCAUACAUUUUCAAAGGUGUUGAAGAGAGAAGAGGUCGGACAAAUCAAGAUCUUAGAAGUGCAAGAAUGGAGCUUUUACUGGUGGAGAUUCAAGUGUGCUUUGGAACUUAAUGCCAGCCUCUAUAAAAAUCUGCACUCGACGGAGCUUCAGAAAUCGAAGAGGCGUUUGCUUUCUCAAAAGCUGUGCUGCUCAGAGACCACGAGACGUUUGCUUUCUCAAAAGUUGGGCUGCUCAAAGACCACGAAGGCCGAUCUCAGAAAUCGAAGAGGCGCUUGCUUUCUCAAAAGCUGGGCUGCUCAGAGACCACGAUGGCUGAUCUCAGAAAUCGAAGAGGCACCUACUUUUCCAGCCUUGUCAGCACCUGUCAGCUUUGCGGAAAUUAUGGGCAUUAUGUCGAAGAUUUCUGGUGAAGUAGAAAGCACAUGAAUCUUACUGUUCAAUCACCCACUUCCCAUACGCAACAUUAGCUCAUGGGUACCACAGAUAACUUUGCCAAAGUUCUCUGACAAAGUUGAGACACGUGAAGCUUGCAGCUCCCACUACACCGCUCUGACCAAGAAGGGUAAAAGAAUAGCAGAGAAACAGCACUAAUAAAGUUUAGACACAUAAAUUUUGAAGGUCUAGCUACCAUAUUAUUACCCACAAGGGUAAAGGAACAGUACCACUGCUGGAUAAUUGGAAAGUCCCUGUGUGUCAACCUCUGUGCUUCGUGGCAAGAUAGACUAGCAAACAUGCCCAACCUUUUCUUACAUUCGAGAAAACACUCCCAACAAGACUGCUUGUUCCAAAAUCAAAGAGGCACCGCCCUCCGAAUCUCGAGAGCCAGACUCCCAACAUGAUUACUUUCUCAAAAAUCGAAGAGACACCGCUCUCCGAAUCUCGAGAGCCAGACCCCUAGCAGGAUAGCUUUUUCAAAAAUCGAAAAGGCAUCGUUCUCCGAAUCUCGAGAGCCAGAUCUCCGACAGGAUUGCUUGUUCGAAAACCGAAGAGGCACCACUUUCCCAACUUCAAGAGCCGGAUCUCCUUGGAUAAAGUUUGUCUGUAAUCUUUACACGCAACAUCAGCUUUCCAGAUACCACAGACCAUUUUUUCAAAGUGCUCUGACAAAGUUAAAACAUGUGAAGCUGGCAGCUCCCACUACCGUGUUAUGACCAAGCAGGGUAAGGGAAUAGCAUUACUACUUGUUGUUAGGGAGACUCCUAUAUAUGUUGACCUCUAUCCCCAACAGACAGGCAGACCUGCAAAAAUGGUCAACCCUUCCUCAUAUCUGAGAGGGCACUCCCAAAGAAGCCUUUCGAAAUAUUCAGCUUUCUUUCCCCCCGAUAAUACCUCUGCAAACAAGCUAUACUAGGGCAAGAAUAUCUCAUAUCAUCAGGGUUAAAAGCAAGAGUAUCCCAUAUCAUGUUGUUUCCCUGUCUUUUCCUUUGGCCUUGUUCUUACCUACAAGACAAGGAGAAAGAGAGCAAUCAGUCAGCACUUGGAAUCAAGCUUCCAGUCAGGAACUGACUGCCUGGAACCCCUUACUUGAUUACUUACCUGGCAUUGCUCUCGAGUACUCAUCUUCAACAUCUUAUGCUUCCAGGGAAGAUACCGCAUCUGCCUGAGGAACAUAUAGGGCAAGUGAGAAGGAUACAAGGAAGCAUGUGGAGACAAGCGUAACAGCACACGUGCCGAUACAUCCACUACUCUGUCCAAAGCAAAAGUAUCCCAUAUCAACAGGGUCGAACGUACUAUAGAUUUGAUGGACUUGUUUUGACCCUCAAAUUCUUCAGUCGGCCUUAUACUCUGGGGGAAACCAGAAAACCCUCCAGCUCAGUUCAAGAAUAAGCCUGUGGAAAGUUACUUCUUCAAAAGCAAAAGUAUCCCAUAUCAUCUCUUCUCAUUUUUCUUCUCUUUAUCCUUCAUGCUGCCUGCAAGAUAGGGAGAAUGUGAACAAUCAGCCAGAACUCAAAAUCAAAGUUCUGAUCUGGGACUGAUUGCUUGGAGCUAUGAUUGCUUACCUUGUCUGUCACCUCUUUCAACAGAUCCCCUAGCUCGGCGACUUGGAGGACUCCUACUACAUGGUUUGUAUCGCGCUUGACCAAGCCUGAAACUACAAGUAAGUUUCAAGUGAAAUUGAUACAUUAUCUUGUGCAUCUCCACCAGUUAAAGAUACCACCCCUGGAUGGAGGAAGAGUACUUCCAGAGAAGAUGCCACAUCUACCUACGAGACAGAUAAGGCAAGUCAAGACGAUACCACACUCCGGAACUUAGAAGUUUCGUGAUUACGAGAUCAUUCUCCCAUAAUAUUUCCUAAUGUCAUUUGUACUAAAUCAUUCACUUGUACUCACUAAAAGAGAGCUUGAACCUAUGUACUUGUGUAAACCCUUCACAAUUAAUGAGAACUCCUCUAUUUCAUGGACGUAGCCAAUAUGGGUGAACCACGUACAUCUGGUGUUUGCUUUCCUAUCUCUAUCCAUUUAUAUAUUUAUCCACACUAAUGAUCGGAGUAAUCUAGCGACGAUCACAAAAAGCGACCGUUUUCGCUACCUAAGAUCUAUCUUGCAAGAGAACGGAGAAUUAGAUUGAGAUCUCAACCAUAGAAUACAAGCUGGAUGGAUGAAGUGUAAGAGUGCAUCCGGCGUGUUGUGUGAUCGUCGUAGGUCACUGAAGCUCAAGGGAAAAUUUUAUAGGACGGCAAUAAGGCCAGCGAUGUUGUAUGGCACAGAAUGUUGGGCGGUGAAGCAUCAACACGUACACAAAAUGGGUGUAGCGGAGAUAAGGAUGCUUCGUGGGAUGCUUCGUGGGAUGUGUGGGCACACGAGAAAGGAGAAGAUUGUGAAUGAGGAUAUCCGAGGUAAAGUAGGAGUAGCCGAAGUUGAAGGAAAGAUGAGAGAAAAUCAGUUACGGUGGUUUGGACAUGUGCAAAGAAGGCCUACUGACGCUCCGGUUCGAAGAUGUGACUACGGAACAGAGGUUCGGGGCCGAAGGGGUAGAGGAAGACCUAGGAAAACUUUGGAAGAGACCCUAAGAAAAGACUUAGAGUACUUGGAUCUAACGGAGGACAUGACACAAAACCGAGCGCAAUGGCGUUCUAGGAUUCAUAUAGCCGACCCCACUUAGUGGGAAAAGGCUUUGUUGUUGUUGUUGUUGGACUUUUUAUGUGCUUAGGGGCAAUUAUUGUGACGUUUCCGUCUUCGCUAGUGGCGCAGCUUUUAGCAACUAAGUACUGUGAGUGGACCCCUUCUAAAAUUACAUGAUUUUAUAGUAAAUGCAUAAAUGAUUAGCAUGCCUACAAAUUUAUGAAUUGAUUUAUGUUAAGCCUGUUUAUGAAAUUUAUUGAUUUCGUCUCGUGUUUUGGUGAGGAAAUGAAUUGUUAGCCUAGUUUGUGCUAUAUUUUAAUAUAUCUUAUUUUCUAUAAAAACCAUGAACUGGUAGACUAUCCGAUGGAUGACGAUAGGAUGCUAGAACAUGUUUUAGAAACCCCUCUUUAUAGUAUAGACAAUGGAUGACUUUAUACUAUGAAGUGGUUAUUUAUGAGAGGCGUAAAUAUUUGUGCGUACCUAGUAGACACUAUGCCGCCUGGGGCGAGGAUCUGGUGUUGGCAUGUAGGCCGGGAGAAAUAAUCCCUAACGAAAGGCUGAGGGACACGGAGACAUGGGCCGGGAGGGAGUUAUCUCUGGCUACGGGCACAGAGACUGAGGUGCAGGCAUUGGGCUGAGAGUUAUAUUUAUUCGGUGAUCUUUCUAGCAGCACACCGCGUUUACGAGACGAUUUAUGAUACGUUUAUUGUUUUGAUUUCCUCGAUGCGUUUCCGCGAUAUGACUUUUGACAUAUUUGGCAUGCUAGGAUUUUUAUUAAAUCCAUCACUUACUAUGCUAGUAGUUUUCACUAUUUAAACUUUGGGGGUUAGUAUGUUGAUAACUGUUUUAUUAUUAUUGUAUAUAUAAACUUGGUCCACUCACUUUUGUUUUGCGCCCCCAUUCAGGUCAUAGAAAUGAGGACUACGACUUGACGUACGAGGCAUUCCCCUACCAAUAGCACUCUAUCACUCACUUGUGUGAUAUCUUGUAAUGCUCUUUCUUUUUUGUAAAUCUUGGUUUAGUUUGUGUCUGGUUCAUUCUAGAUACUUCCUUGAACUUUGUUAAUUAUUCUUAAAUUCUGAUGUUAUUCAUGAAUAUUUUCUUCUAAUCAUUACUCUUAUAAUCAAUUAAUGGCUUUCGUCACACUCAGGUGUCGGCCAGUACGUGCCUAUCCUGAUAUUCGAGGAAUAUCAGGGUCGGGGCGUGUCAGAUUGGUAUCAGAGCCAGGUUUGUUCAGAGCAUACUUAGGAUUCUCUUCUAUUCUCAUAAAGUCUUGGUUUUGACAUCAUUUGGAUGUCACGAUUUCUGGAUUUUGUGCCAGUCGGUGCAGUUGUGCAAACCUUUCUCUGUUUGAAUUGUCAUCUUCUGGUUGAAAUACAAGAAUUCGUGUCGGGAUUGUGCCUCAUCGAUGACGUGUUUGAUUUGUUGGACGACUUUAAACAUCAGAUCGAUACUCAGCGACAUGUUUUAGAAAUCUCAAUUUGAGGAAUUUUGGUUAAGACCAGCCGUAGAUUCGAAAUGGCGAUGCCACUCUGCAACAUGCGUUCCCUAGGAAUUGCAGGCGAAAUCGGCUCUACAUCGAAAUCUUUGGAAACUCCUCAGUAGUAAACACUAUUCUCAUCAAUUUCCAAAUUGAGUUGCAAUUCUUGUUGUUGUUGUAGUUGGAUUUGGAUGAUGAAUAUCCAGCCUUGUUUGGAUAAACAGAUUCCUUGAAUUUCACCUGGGUCUGGUACUCGACGGAAAACCCUAGUUCCUUGUCCGCGAGUUUUUCAGGGAAGGUGAACUUAGUCCCUUGCUUGCAGCCUAGCUGUUCAGCUUUGUAAUUUUCAGUGUAAUGGCUUGAGACUUUAUCAUAUUCAUCAUUAUAUGAAGAUCGAGCUUUACUCUGAACUUCUCUGGACUCAUUGAGCUUUGGUUUACUCAAUGGGCAAAUCAAUUUUAAGGUAGCCAAUCGUGCCACUGCAUGCAUACGCAGGUUGUUUUGUAUCUUCCUUCUUCGCUAUUCUGCUGAUUCAGAGAUUCUACAUUUAAUUUUUGAACUUUGAAACAGCUCUCACAAAGUGUUGUAUUUCAAAAUUGUCUUACACGUCAAAUCUUAUUAUCAGUUCUUAAUAUUCUUGAGUCUAGACCUAUUUCCUUUGGUAGAAACAGUUGACCAUACUGUGAUGAUUUGCAAAAUAAUCAUAAAGUGAAUUUGUAUUUCUGCAUCUUUAUCUUCCUUCGUUGUGGUUUCUCAAUGUAAAUUGAAUCAUGCCAGAACAUAUAUGGAGGUUUUGUAGCGUGGUUUUGUUCACAUCCUGAUUUUCUUAAUCUAUCUUUUAUGGAAUUGUUUGACUCUUCAGAAUUCUUGAGAUUGUUCAGCCUUUCCGACUGUUCUCGCGUCAAUAGUUGAGAAUUCACGAUUGAUGGAUUCGACGAAGUGUGCGCCCAAUUCCUUAUCGAUUCGGACAUAAGUUGGGAGCAUAAUCUUUUACAAACUUACCAGACUACCAGAAGAAUCCAAUGUGGGUAAUGAGGUUUAAGUUGUAUUUUUAGAGACGGUGAAGACUUGUGGUACAAGAGGUCAGCAAUUGUAUCACUCUUACAAGAAUUCAUAGGCUCACAUCGUUAUUUUCAACGAUUAUGUGUUCGUCUCGCGAUAUUUCCACGCUUUACUUUCAACCUUAUUGUUGAGUACAUAUCUUUGUUAAACAGUUCUAGCGAUCUGUUUGGUGCAUUCUGGAUAUCUACAGGAAUCGGUUUGAAGCGAGAAUUGGAUAAUCCCUUUACAUUUUCCGAAAUGUGCAUGUUCUCUUUGUUUGUUACGGAUGACCUAUUUUGAGAGUCGUUCUUCUUUCCACCAAUUUUGAUCUGUUUUGACUAAGAAAUCUGGCAACUCAAGCAAAAUUGGAGAUUGUUUAAGCACACGAGCAGUUCCUUAAGAGAUCUGGCUGUUAGAAGAUGAUUCUUCGGAACUUGCUUGCUUUGGUUCGACUUUGGCUCUUACUACAUGGUGCCACUUCUUCUUGAAUCCCAAGUACGAGUCUCUCAGAAUUGGGUUAUUAUUGGCAAAAUCGAUUUAUUACAUUAUGGAAGACGCUAAGGAUUGAGCUUGGGCUGAUAAUUUUUACGACAGCAGUUUCUGUUUUUUUGGUUGGUAUGGCACUGUUUGCCGGUGUAACCGAAUUUCUCCAGGUACUUGGGUUUGUUCAGAAGUUGUGCGAGCGUUGUAUUAUUUUCAAUUAACGACGUGUAAAAUUUGCAUCCUCAGAUAAAUUUGCUGUUAUAGGGCAUUUGUGUGAAUGAUAUCACCCGGCUCCUUUGUUGAAUAUCGAUAGCUUUAUUUGUGGAUUAAAGCAGUGGUGGAAUCGUCUAAGUAGCUGACGCAGAUCUCAGAAUGUUAUUCUUGGUUUCCCAAAGAUACAUUUGUAUUCUCGAAGUGGGUGACAUUUCGAAUCCUUGGGUGGACCUCCUCAUUCUUCCAAGUUUGAUUUUAGUAUAAAGUAUUGAACUAUUUACUCAGUUUUGUUUGACAACAAAUGUUGAAAAGUAUUUCUGUUUUUUCAUUUUUAAGUUGAUCGAGUUUUUGGAAAUAUGUUUAGUACAAUCAUUUCGUUAUUCCUUAAAUGUGUUCACUUAAUCAUUAAGAUGUUUUCCAAUUUUCCCUGAGGGGAAAAAAAUUUUGAGCCUGGAGGCAUGAAAAAGAAUCAUUCAAACCCCAUCGCGAGGCAUGCCAAUUCUCUUUUGUAGCAACGUUCGGGAUUUCUUCGAAACGUAGUUAUAAAUGUGUAUCUUUCGUAUUUUCCGAGUUUUUCAGUUCCUGUUAUUUUAAUGGAGCUUUUUUAAAAGGGUGGUAAUUGAAACAUCAACCCAUUGAUUUUUGUUUAAAGCUAAUGGUGAGCCGUGGGGCACUUGUUUAUUUUUUUAGUGUUUUCCCGGUCUCCCUCUCUCCUAUCAAGUUUUCUUUCUUCCUCUUUCUUCUUCCGCUUUCCGUAUACCCCUGUCAUCUUUUCUGUCCUUUCCUAUCACAUGAACACCACCACAUAAUCACCUGACUUUCUACUAGACAAUCUCAAUCAGCACUGCUCAGUUACUAAUGACGAGAUUGUGAAGCAAUGGAACGAGAGCUUCGUAUUCUCAGAUCUUGCGGUUAUUAUCUUCCUUCGCCGUCGAGAAUCAAACUUUAGUUUUGUAACACAUUUCCUCAAUUGAAACGUUAUACUUCUCUUACCAUUUCUGGCGACCUAGUGAAAGAGGCAUUUUUCGGCAAACUGGAGGUGGACGACUAGUGAAGGAACUGUCUCUUAGGGCUACACUUUCGGUCUCGCUUAUUUGUAGUAUACAAGUUAAGCCGUUUUGUGUUUUUUCGAUGAUCUCGGAAUUUUCGCAACUGUUGCGGAAACCCAGCUUAAAGCUGAAUAUCUUAGAAAACCCACCACAUCUUCAAUGUUGUAUGCCAAUCCGGAAUGGUAACAUAGCAAUUUCUGCAGUUUGUGUGUGUUGGUUUUGUACUAGCACGCAGUAGUUAUUUGGUGUUUUGGGUUGACACCCAAAAAUUGUACAACCCUUUUAAGAAAAACUUGCCAAUCCCAAAUACCUAAUCACACUACAUAUGAUUCGAAACCGCAGAUUUUACCAUGAUCGUUCACGUUGACUUUACAGGGGGACCGAUUUCUCCGGAUUCUAAUUUGUAGAACUUAUUUUUGAACAUUGCAUUAAAGAUCAAUGAUGUGCUGGGAACAUAGAAGAUUCGCUCUAUAGUUUACCUAAUAGUAGUAUUCUAAAUUCAUGAUUUAUGUAAAUUGAUAAAUCUUAGCAUGCUACAAAUUUUCAUUAUUUAUGAAAGCCUGUUUAGAAUUUAAAUAUUUUUGUGUUUUCUAAACUUAAUUUUUAGCCUAUUUUGGAUUUUUAAUUAAGUAUUUUCUAUAUUUCAUGACUGGUAGUUAUGUGACUAGAUGUAGAAUGUUUUAGAAACGAUCCCUCUUUAUAUAAUAGAGAUAUGAUUUAUUUGGUGGAAUUAUGUAGACGUAAAUAUUUUGACUUUAUCUGCCUUAAGGAUCUGGUGUUGGCAUAGGCGCGUUAAUUGAAUAACAAAAGGCAUUGGCCUAUCUUGACCCACGGACAGAGAAAGGUGAGCAUGGAGGGAUUAAAGAUGGGAUCUUUUGCAACAACGCAGAGCGACGGAUCUUCCGGAUUGGAUGCAUUUUUCUUUUGAGAUACCAUGCUAUUUUUUCUCUCUUACAUGUUCUAGUAGUUUCAUAUUUGCUUGGGGUAUUUUGAUCGCAGAUUAUUGUAUAUAUAAGGUAUAAUUUGGUUUUGCGCCCUAUCAGGGAACGAACUAAAUUUGUUCCCUAAUUCACCUAAGAUUGUGUGAUUCGAAACCCCAAAUCUUUAUAUUUGUGUUGUUUUUAAAGCCUUACUUAGGUUAUACUCUAAAUGGAGGAGCAAAAUAACAACAACUCUUUUAUUUUUUUUUUGAGAUUCACCUUAUCAACUACUUCUACCAAUCAUCCCAAGUUUUCUUUUAUCAUUAUCCUUUUUCCCUUUGUAGUUACCCCUGUCAUCUUAUCUUGUCACUUUUUCUUAUCUACCUAUUGAUCAACCACCCACGAUUAAUCACCAUGUUGCACAUUUGUCGAUACCACUUCAUUAAACAUUAAUCAUCAAUUCUAAGUUAUUGCAUCUAGUUCUUCAUAAUUCCUAGUAACGCUCAGCCGAAGAAUUGGCUCGAAGCAGAGAAAAAAAAGUGACAAAAUCUGGCCAUAAAAGAAAACUAUCCCUAAACCAAAGUGGGCUGGGCAAUGGAAAAAACAAAAUAAAAUAAAAUUUGAAAUUGGGGCUAACAGUGGGCUGGCUGGCUGAAAGGUGGCCAGUCGGUGGCCCUUUCAGAUUCUGUGGGGGCCCACGAGCCUUUAGCCUAACCUCUUGGUUGGAGAUGAUUUUCGGUAUUUUUUCGACUUCUAAGCCCUUUUGACCAUUCGUUGGAGAUGGGCCUAAGGUUUGCUUUAGUGAGGCACGUCGGGGAGUAAGUGUUGAGAAUAAAGUCUCACAUCCGUGAGAUGAGGGACUUUACAUACAGCUUAUAAGAGGUUUGAGCUACCUUUUCCAUAUUGCCAAAUUGGUUUUAUGAUGAACCCCAACUUUUCUUCAGCGUAUCAGAGUAACGGAUUGUCUCACUUAUGAAGCCAAAGAACGGCCACUGUGUGUCACGUUACCCAUGUUGUGUUGUCCACAGUAUGUUGCCGAAUGAGAUCACCAUUGAUGGACAAGGAGGGACCUUCCAAUCUCUAAAACAUUGCAAGAUAAGAUUUGAUACAUAAAUGGAUUUCGGAUUUAAUCUAUUUAAUGAGAUAAUGAGACAAAGACACAAUAAUCAGAAUCGUACUAAACUUUUCGUGGUUUUUCAUUGGUUUAUUGUUUAAAAAAAUCAAUUCGCAAAGAAGAGAUAUUUUACCUAUUUCUUUUGGUAAAUUUGUAGAAGUAGAAAUAUGAUUGAAGUGAAUCGUCAAUGUUUUUACCGUUUGAAGAAAGGAAUAUUAAAGGCUGCAAAUGUCCUGUGUAGCGGAGGAUCUAAAGAUAUUGGAAGGGUGCCUUCUUGCCCAAGAGAAAAAUCACUACGAGCUUAAAACGAGGAGUUGACAAAGCAACUUGGAGGCAUUUCUAAACGAGCCCUAUGGCCCUUUGGCCCUCGGUUGGUGACGGAAGCAAAUAUGACUCUGUACUGUUCAUUAAAUUAUUAAUAUCUUGGAGGGUCAGAGGGCUAAAAUGAGCCAUCUGGCCAGCCCUUGGUUAGAGAUGGCCUUACCAUCUCCAAUUGAGGGCCAAAGGGCCAUAAAGCUUGUUUUAGCACUGUCACAAAAAACUGUCUCCAACCGAGAGCCACAAGGCUAUAGUAUGGAAUGUGAAGAAUUGAGAUAAAAUGAGGUAAUAUAGUAUAAAAUAGUGAAAAAUAUGUGAGAAAUUGUGUAGGAAAAAAAUUAGAAAUAAAAAAAAAAAAAAAAAAAAAAAAAGGGCUGUUGGGCAUAAAAACAAAAAGUGGGUUGGGACUGGGACCAUAAAAAAAAAAACUAAGCCCUAAACCCUAAAGUGGGCUGGGCAAUGGAAAAGAACAAAAUAAAAUAAAAUUUGAAAUUGGGCUAACCAGUGGGCUGGCUGGCUGAAAGUGGCCAGUCGGUUGGCCCUUUCAGAUUCUGUGGGGCCCACGAGCCCUUUAGCCUAACCUUUGGUUGGAGAUGAUUUUCGGGUAUUUUUCGACCUUCUAGCCCUUUUGACCAUUCGAUUGGAGAUGGCCUAAGGUUGCUUAGUGAGCACUCGGGGAGUAAGUGUUGAGAAUAAGUCUCACAUCGAUGAGAUGAGGGACUUUACAUAAGCUUAUAAGAGGUUGAGCUACUUUUCAUAUUGCCAAUUGGUUUUAUGAUGAACCCCAACUUUCUUCAUGGUAUCAGAGUAGGUUGUCUCACUUAUGAAGCCAAACGGCCACAUGUGUGUCACGUUACCAUGUUGUGUUGUCCACGUAUGUUGAGAAUGAGUCACACAUUGAUGGAAGGAGGGACCUUCCAAUCUCUAAACAUUGAAGAUAAGAUUUGAUACCAUAAAUGGAUUUCGGAUUUAAUCUAUUUAAUGAGAUAAUGAGACAAAGACACAAUAAUCAGAUCGUACUAAACUUUUUCGUGGUUUCAUUGGUUUAUUGUUAAAAAAUCCAAUUCGCAAAGAAGAGAUAUUUUUACCUAUUUCUUUUGGUAUAAUUUGUAGAAGUAGAAUAUGAUUGAAGUGAAUCGUAAAUGUUUUACCGUUUGAAGAAAGGAAAUUAAGGCUGCAAAUGUCUGUGUAGCGGAGGAUCUAAAGAUAUUGGAAGGGUGCCUUCUUGCCCAAGAGAAAAUCACUACGAGCUUAAAACGAGGAGUUGACAAAGGCAACUUGGAGGCAUUCCCAAUUCUAACCUGUAUUUUCGAGCUGCGGGAGUCCGUUCAAGCCUUGCAGCUAGUCCUAAGUUCGUCGGGUAGAUAAUGAAGUGGCAGAUGUUGUUGCAUCACAACAAGGAGCGGAGAUGAGUGAUUUUUUUUCUGUUGUUAGACCCCCAUCUUCGUUUGUCAGGAUCUUGAACAAGAGGGGCUUGUCAUAUCCACUAGUUGAAGUGAGUGAGAAGUGUGAGGGGAUGAUGUUUGGCCUAUCUGUAGAGCGGCUUUCUUAUUUCCAUAUCCUUCUUUCUAUCAUGUUUAUUUAUUUGUCAGCCUUCAAUUUGAUUUUCUGUAUUUCAGUUGUUUUUCCUCUGUAAAUGAAUUCCAGUUUUACCAAAGAAAAAAAAGCACUCAGGAGCAAGUUACUACUAGGCUGAUAAACUGACGGCAUUUUGUGGGGGUGCAACUUUGGGGCAAAAGAUUCGCGUGCUUUUAUAUGCUUCAGACUAUUUUUCUUGCUUCCCAGGAUUUUGUGUGUGUAUUUUUGUUUUAGGGUAUAGGAAUUAGGGUUUUUUUUUUUUUUUUAGGUUAAUUGAAUGUGAAGUGACAAUUGAAAUGCAAACCCCAUAUUCGUGGAGAUAAGAUGCGACAUCCAAUAAAAAGUUUUUUUUUUUCUUUUUUGAACAAACGAUUAUAUUUUAAGUUUACUAAGGGUAUGUAUGCUUCUGAUUUUCCUUCUAUUUUUUAAUUAUUUUAUUUUAUUUUGGGGAAGAGAUUGUUAGACUAAGCAAGUUUAUAUUAAAAUCAGAGUACACCUAUUUUUUGAUAUAUUUUUUUUUGUAUUUGAACAAUGGAUGUUAUCGUCUGCACCUUGAUAUUAUGAUAUGAUGUUAUUCCGUUUUUGUUUAUUGAUAUUUCACAUUAAUGGUACUAUAAACAUACAGAUAAACGAGAAAACAAAAACAAGUCUAUUUUAAAUCCGAUCUUUAUCCGAAAUAUAGCCAACAAUUUAUCAAAACCACUUAAAUACUAUCUCCGUAGCCUCCGAAUAGUCAUGAAACUCACUAGAAUUGAAUUUAACACUUCUCACUUAUAAGUGGAGAAGAAUGUCAGUUAACGAUCUUUAAGUUUUUUAGAUUAUCUAAGUAAAUGUUUUUUUUUAUUAAUGAAUAAUGGCGUAAGCAUUUAGCUUUAAGUCAACGACCAUUACGCUAUUUUCUGCUUUGUUUUUUGGCAAAACGGUUCUCUCUUUGCUUGAUUGUGUUUGGUGAAGGAAUCUCUUUGUUUCAUACAGAUUAAGAGCAGGUUAAUACAGAUUAACCAUGAUUAAUCAUCAUCCACAGCAGGAAAUCAAUGGCAGGUUUGUUUGACAAGCAAGCUGAUUUGUACUUGGAUUCGAGGCCAACUUAUCCCAAAGAAUGGUAUUCCAAAUUGGCAGAUCUCACUCCUCAUCUCUCUCUCGCUUGGGAUGUCGGAACCGGCAACGGCCAAGCCGCUAUCGGCGUUAGUAUCACGAUACUACCCCUCUUUCCCUUCUCACUUUGCUGCAUUUCUUUGAAUUCAGUUGAAAUUAUUUACUUUACAAUACAAAUUACAAUACACGCAAGUUAGUUUAUUUUUUCUCUUAAACUAAGACUUUCACAUAGACGUGAGUCAAGAAAGUUGAUCACGUUAGUAUGAUGGUGCCUUUGCACGGAAGUUUGAAUAGCAUAUUAGAAUAAUUUUGAAUAUCGUUUUGUCAGCUCCAUAGUUUCAUAAUAUACAUAUUGGUUGCAUCCCUGCUUUUCUAUGCUGCAUAGACUACUUGUAUGCAGCGAUUGAGACCGAAAAUAUAUAGAUAAUUGACUAUUGCACCCAAAUCUUUGAUUUUCAAAGGAUUAAUAUACAUAUAUAGAAUCAAAACAAAUGAUACUGAGAUUCGCCAGGAGGAUACAUCUCAAAUCGCAAAAGGACGUUUCGAAACCACUUAAGUUUUAGGUGGUGUAUUCAAUUGGGAUUUUGAGGGAAUUUAAUUCUUUUAAUGAAUCUAGGGGUAUUCAAUCUGGAUUUUAAGUGAUUCUCUGAAAUUCAAUGUGUAUUCAAUCAUUCAAUCAGGAUUUUAAGAUAGUUUAUUAAAAUCCUUAGAAAUCCAGGUGUAUUCAAUUAGAAUUUGAAAGAAGUUCAUAACAUUUUAGGUGUAUUCAAUUAGAAUUAGAAUUUAAAGAAUUUGGAAAAGUUGAGGAAUUAGAGGGAAUUGGAGAGAUUUUGUUGUGUAUUUUAAGCAUCCACAAAUCUCACAUCUCCCCAUGAGAUUUCGAGGGAAUUAAAUCAAAAUUUUAUAUGGAAUCUCUACAAAUCAGUUAAACUCCAUAAAAAUCCAUGAAUAUAUAAAUUCAUUAAAAUCUCUCAAAUUCCCAAUUGAAUACACCCUCCUAGAUUAUAGUCUAACGCAUUUCACACAAGUAUAGAUCAUGUUGACUGUUGCUAAAUGUUACCACAACGAUUGUGCACGUUAAGUUUGACAAGAGAACAUUCAUUGCUCUAAUAUGUAGACUGUAUGUUUUAAUAAAAAGGUUGCUGAGCACUAUAAACAAGUGAUUGGAACCGAUGUGACUGAAUCCCAGCUGCAGCGUGCAAUGCCACAUCCUCUUGUUCGAUAUGCCCACACGCCGUUAACCAUGACAGAAGACGAAUUAAUAGCCUUGAUCGGGGGAGAAAGUUCAGUGGACUUGGUGACUGUGGCUCAAGCUGUGCACUGGUUCGACCUACCAAAGUUUUAGUCUUGUUUCGCGGCUUCUGAAGCCAGGAGGCGUGUUGGCGGUUUGGUGCUACAAUCACAUCGAAGUUUUUCCUGAAUUUGAACCUAUUGUGAAGCGACUUGAAGAUACAACCCUUCCCUAUCAUCAUUGUAACAUUCAGUACGUGUUUGAUGGUUACAAGACGCUUCCUUUUCCUUUUUAGAGCGCUGGUUUCGGAUGCGAGGGGAGUCCAUUGGCGCUGGACAUUCCAAAGAAGUUGUCUUUCGAAGGGUUUUUGAAGAUUGUACGGUCAUGGUCUGCAGUUAAUACAGCCAAAGAACAAGGCGUGGAUUUGUUGCCCGAAAAGCUGGUUAAAGAGUUUGAGGUUGCUUGGGGCGGCACCAAAUUAGUCAGGUCUGUCAGCUACAAGGCUUUUAUGCUCGCCGGAAAUGUUAAGGUGUGAUCUUGUUGGGAGGGUGUGCGGAUCAUUUCCUCCUACAAACAAAUAUUACUUUGACGUUUUUAUUGAAAUUUCUUCUUGUGUUUCUUAUGAGUCAAUAUAUGUAUCAGCUUGUGAUUUGCAUACUAUAGUGUAUAUUUAUAUAGACUUGUGAGAACUGACUUGAAUCUCAAUUCAGAAAAUAAACACAAGAAAUUUUUUAGCUUUCGCACUCUACCUCUUUCCUCUUUCACCUAUUUAAUGUGUGAAAUUCGUCUCAACCAUUGAUGAGUUCAACUCUUUAAAUACAUGUGACAUAUAUCAACAGUUAAUCAUCAUUUACAUGUGCAAUUUUUCUUACCAUAAUAUUUUGUUUUUUAGUCUCUCUGACGUAGCAUGAAGCUAAGGAUUACAAGUGUAAUCCCUGUAGAACCAAAAAUUUCUGGAAUCCACCAGUUUGGAGAGAAAUCCCAAAGGAUGAUUUGAUUAAUUGAUGAUUGAUGAUUACAUUGAAGCAUCCAUGGACUUAAAUAAAUGGACUACAACUCCCUGAGAAAACUUAAAUGGCUUAGGUAAUUUAAACGAAAGCAAACGACAUUAACUAGACAUAAAUCGAGGUUCGGUUUUUAUUACAUAAUCUCAAAUGCUGUUUUCGAAGCCUAAACGGUCUCGCAUGGCUAAAAUUCACCAUGUUUUACUGCAAAGCUGUGAGUUGGAACCACGGCGUUGUUCCCUUCUCAAGAAGGUAUCAUGGCUCAAUUCAGAGCUUGGAUGCCAAAUCUGCAAAUUUAUGCUUCAUCCCUUUGUCUUUGGUUAGUCAAUUUCCUCUUCAAUUCACUCGAUCAUUUGUUCUACAUCACUCUCUCUUUGUUCUUAAAGAAUUGGCAAAAACUUCAAUAAUGAAUCAUGCCUCUACAACUACAACCCCAAAGGACAAAGCAUCAAAUUCUAUUUACCCAGUGAGGGCUCCUUCCCUCUCCGAUCUAGGUCAACAAAAUCAUAACUUUAUCACCUAACGGUGGACCAAGUUUUGUGAUUUAUACUUUGAUUAAUAAAUAAUUUACGUAGUAAACAAUGGCAUGCAUUUGUUUAAGAGUUUCGCUUUCGUUAAGUCUUUGUCACAUUUAAUUGACGGACAUUCUAAUAUAUGAAGUUUGGGAAAAGACAUGUUGCCUCUUGUUAUAAUCCUCGAUGUAGAUGUGGAAAAUAAAUAUUUUGUUCUUCAUGAACAUUAUAUCAUUAUUUUUUACUAUUAAAUCCCAUGUGCCGUAUCAAUUUGUAGUUCUAAGUCGUUAAUUUAUGUGACCUUCAUUAUAAAAAAUUCAUAUGAACUACAUUUGACAGUUAUUUAUACAGACAUGAACGAUUCCCAUUAGCAUUUAACUUUCAUUAAGUGAAAAGAUAUGUUGCCCUAUUAUUAUGAUAAUUGAUGAUAAAUGCAAAAAGAAAAUUACAAAUAAAAUCCUUUACACGGACAUUAAUCCAACGUAUAUGGUUAGGCUAUGCAUAGAAGAAACAAACAAAUACAAGAAAUUGAAUUAAUGUGUAUGCAUAAAAGAAGCUUCCUUGUGUGCCACUGCCAUGUGCGGGAGUGGAAGAGGGAGAAGAACUCUUCGAAUCGGCCUCUACUCUUGUGAACACUUCCAUGGCACUCACUAUCAGAGGUAGGGUGGACCCACUGGCCAACGCCAUUGUCACGUUAAUUAUGGGACCCACAACGGUCACAGUAUACAAAAUGAUUACUUUGCAUUCUUCAAAUUUAAGUGUUGCCGUAGACUUUUUCUGACCGUUGAUGUAGAUGUUGAUGAUCCAUGGUAUCAUUUGGUUUGGGCAAGGUUGCCGUUUCGGCGAAGUAGAGCACUAUGUAAGCCGAUUGUGGGGUCGAGUGGGGGAGAUGAUUGGAUCAGAAGGUUUCAGUGAUUGGAUGGAGUCGAGAAGCACCGGAAUAGGAGGGUCGUUCUCUAUUAAAAGGAGGGGAGUGGCUACGGUAGGGACUUGGACGCAGUUUGGUGCGGUUGUACCUUUCCUCACUCAAUGGUUCUGCGUACCUGCAUUGAUUUAGCAUUUUGUGUCCAUUGUCAAUCAAAAUCCAACUCAUUUCUACAAUAAUCGAGGAGAGACUUUGGGUACGGAAGCCCGUACAACGUCAUUUGUUCGCGAAAGACACGGUCGAAUGUUAGAAUUUAUUGUUGAUAUAUUAUGAAUCUCACAUGAAUUAACAAUACACAUACAAGAUUUUGUAUCUAAUUUUUCAUGUCAAAAUUUAAUGAGCAUAUGAUUAGGGUAAGGGCAUAAACAACUAUAUAUAAUAUAGGAAGCCUUUAAGGGAAGUGUUUGGACCCGAUUUUACAAUAUCUUCCCGAGCAAUCGAGGCCGUUGAGUGAGCAUGUUUCUAGACCAUCGGAUAAGAAAGUUAAGAUAAUUUUGUUGUUGUUAAGAGAUAAUAUUAUGGUUUUAAUCAUAAUAAUUAUCUUUUAAUAAAUUAUCUUGAUUUUCUCGUACAAGAUAAAUGGAAUACAAAACAAGUCUACGAGAGAUUCACGUUUGUUGAUGCACAAAACCGGAUGGUCUUGAAACAACGUAAAUCCGACCGUGAAUCUGCAAGAAAUGUAAAUGACAUAAGAUGUAUCGUGGUUCACCCUAAGGUUUGGGCUACGUCCACACUGAUUGUAUUUAUUUGAGGGAGAGAGAGAGCUCUGAGAGUGAGAGCAUUGAGAGGGGGUGAGAAGAGCCUUAGGAAUUGGUCUCCCCCAAUUGUGAGGGUGAGGGGUCCUUUUAUAGAAUAAGGACUCCUCACUUAUUACAUAUUUUCCCCUUCCUUUAUUACAUAAUCACAUUUAAGUCCCUCGAGUAUUUAUAUGAGGUCUAAAUACGAGACCCUAAAUAUGGUAUAAACAGUAGUCCCCAAAGUCUUCAGUCAAUUGAGUCUUUUGGCUGGAGACUUGAAAUUCAGUCCAUGUGUGGGUCGAAGUAACUAGAUGUUGUCUUGAACUGAUGCUCGAUAUGAGGCAGUGCUCAAUCUGAAAUGACGCUCAACUAGAAGUAGCAUACGCUGCAAGGCUGCUCGGCUCGUGGCUUAUGUUGCCUUGGUUGGCUCGGCUAAGGUGAGGGAGUCCCUUUUAUAGAAUAAGGGCUCGCUCCUCAAUACAUGAAUGAUGGGCUAGAGUUGAUGCUCUCUAAUGGUGGUGAGGGAGUCCCUUUUAUAGAAUAAGGGCUCGUUCCUCAAUACAUAAGUGAUGGGUUAGGAGUGAUGCUCGCGGCGAGGCGGUUGCUCAGCUGGCGGAGUUGCUCUCUAAUGAUGGUGGGGGAGUCCUUUUUAUAAAAUAAAGGAUCGCUCCUCAGUACAUGAAUAAUGGGUGCUCUCUAAUGAAAGUGAGGGAGUCCCUUUUAUAGAAUAAGGGCUCGCUCCUCAAUACAUAAGUAAUGGGCUAAGUCCCCCAAGUAUUUUUCAUGAGGCCCAGUUGAGGCCCAAUAUAUGGUACAUAAUGUAGUCCACCAAGUCUUCGGUCAAUAGAGUCUGUUGCUGGAGACUUCAAAUUGAAUCCGUGUAUGGGCCGAAGUGGUGGUUUUUCGGAUGUGGUAUUUGUAUACCCUGCACUGAAGCUUUGUAGGUGAAGCUUUGCAAGUGAAGCUUUGAAGCUAGAGCUCUGUAAAUGAAGCUUUUCGAAGCUAGAGCUUUUGUAAAUGAAGCUUUUAAAGCUGUAGCUUUGUAAAUGAAGCUUUUGAAGCUAGAGCUUUGUAAAUGAAGCUUUGGAAGCUAGAGCUUUUGUAAAUGAAGCUUUUGAAGCUAGAGCUCUGUAAAUAAGCUUUUGAAACUGUUUGACAUGAGUGAUGCUCAUGAAUGUUUAUGACAUGAGUGAUGCUUAUGGAUGUUGUCAUGAAUGAUGCUCAUGAAUGUUAACAUUAGUGAUGCUUAUGGAUGUUGUCAUGAGUGAUGCUCAUGAAUGUUAACAUUAGUGAUGCUCAUGAAUGUUGACAUGAAUGAUGGUCAUGAAUGUUUAUGUAUGAUUGUCAUGAGUGAUGCUCAUGAAUGCUUAUGUAUAAAUGACAUGAGUAAUGCUCAUGUAUAAUUUGGAGUACUGGGCGUACUUUUGAUCACCUGGUUGGUGGCAUGAAGGAGAGUACGGGUUGUACAUUUCAUCACCUGGUUGGUGGUAAUAGCGGCAGGUUACCGAAUAAUUAUGGAGUACUGGGCGUACUUUUGGUCACCGGGUUGGUGAUAAUAAAAGGUUUGGCUCUUUUGAGCAUAUGGGCCUUCGCCCUCCACAUGACAUUGCAGCCCAUUAUUUUGGGCUUGCAGUCCAUUAUUUGGGCUUUUUUUUUAUUUACCUUCUGAUGGGGUUUAUACAUAUUACCCUAUGAUGGGAUUUAUACAGAUGUUUCUGAAAGAUAAAAUAAAUUACAUCAUUCUGGUUGGGUGUUUAUUCUUUGUUUUUGCAGUGUCCUCAUGUGCCUCUCUUCUUCUUUUCUCUUUUGCAGAUGGCAGACAAGGAAUGAUAAGUACAUUAAUCUUAUCUCCGCUUUUGCACGAUUCCUCAUGAUCACAGCCUCCACCACCUCUCCAUACUUCCUGAAAUAUUCCUUGAGCCGUUUCUUAUCUGUGUCCCAGGGAAUCCCUUUUUUUUCUUUUUCUUUUCCUUUACCCUGAUCUCUCCGCCUCCAGACACACUCACUUGCUUUUGCUUUUACUUUCCCAUUGCACCUCUAUUGUAGGCCCAUGCUCUUCCCCUAAAUCCUAAUUUUACUGUUGCUCUUUUACCUAGUAAACCUUCCUGAAUACUUGUUCGUUAGACAUGAGCCAACUGCCUCCAUCACUGCUUGAUUAGUAAAAUUUUCUGAGGUAAUAAGCUCAAGAUUCUUGAACUAUCGGUGCUUGGGUUCUAACGGGUCGAGGUAGGAGAGGAUGCGGCAGUCGCCGAUGAGCUCCAAGAAGGGCAUGUAAAUACCGGUGAAGAUGUAUUUCUUCUUGACUUUCGAGACAUCGAAGGGCAACGAGAAGCUCUUGCCGUCGAGGAGAGCGACGACCUGGGACUUGUAGGUGACGGUGGGGCCCGGCGGCAUGUUGAUUGGAAAAAACCUGAAAGGGUAGGUUACCUGACAGGAAGCUCUUCCCACUGGCCGUGCUGUUGGAUGAUUGAAAAUUUUGAAGGGGUAGGUUAUAGACCCAUCAAAGGUGGUGGACGUCGGUCACAGCUCUCUCGUCGGGGACAACACCUUUCUUGGUAGCAGCUGGAGUAAAUGGGACUGUCAUUGCGCCAUGUUCCAUUCUGACAAGGCAAACUUUAACGCCGGGACGGGUGGCACUAAGUGUUGUUGACAUGGUUGUGUUAAAAACCGACAUAAUCGAAGCUCACAUCCACGUUGGAUUUCAUGGCUGUCUUGAUCUGGGCAAUUUCAUCAUCCAAAUCCUCUAUUUUUGUCGAAAGCUUUGACAGUGUCAUUAGCACCGAGACGACCUUGAAGGGCUUUUUGAGCAGGACCGUCGACGACCUUGAAGGGUUUUCUGAGCACGGAAGGGAGAUGAAGUGCAUCGAUACAACCGGCCUGGACCUCGCUGUAGACGGAGGCGAAUCGACCGGUGACAGGUGCCGGAACUGACUCAACAUCGGCAGCACCGUCGUUAGCAAUUAGUGAUGAUGGAUGAAUGAGUGGUUGAUUUCGCUAAUGUAUAAGCGACUGUCUGGAAGCUGACUGGAGCUUUUGCAGAGAGAUAAUGGUGAAGCAACGUCAUGGAAGCUGUUUGGAGCUUUUGCUUCUGGACUGCGUCCCAUGACUGGUGCAGGGGAGAAGUCAUCAGCAAAUUUGCUAGUUCAAGCCCCGUACUGCUAAUUUGGUUGUUCAUCUUCAGUAGUUUCUGUAGAAAUAUGCUUCGCAGAGAGAGAAUGGUGAAGCAACGUGAGAGCUGGACGACGUCGUUUGAGCUGGUAGGGGAACUAGGAGAGAUGGAACGAGAUCUUAUGAAUCAGAAAGGAAGGUUUGGACUCAUGGGUUCCCAUCCAAAAUUCAGCAUAUGAUUUCUUGAGUUUUGGAGUUUUCCUUUCUGCAUUUUUGAGAUAUGGGUUUUGCAGUGACUUUGGUUUCUGGGUUUGUGUGAUUUUGCAGAUUCACGGCGAAUGUGAAAAAAUGAAAGAGAACCGACAUAACUUUUUGUGUCGAUUCCCACAGACGGCGCCAAAUGUUGAUACACAAAACCGAAUGGUCUUGGAACAACAUAAAUCUGAUCGUGAAUCUGCAAGAAAUGUAAAUGACCUAAGAUGUAUCGUGGUUCAUCCCAAGGUUUGGGCUACGUCCACACUGAUUGUAUUUAUUUGAGGGAGAGAGAGAGAGCUCUGAGAGUGAGAGCGUUGAGAUAGGGUGAGAGGAGCCCUAGGAAUUGGCCUCCCCCAAUUGUGAGGGUAAAAGGUCCUUUUAUAAAAUAAGGACUCCUCACUUAUUACAUAUUUGCCCCUUCCUUUAUUACAUAAUUACAUUUAAGUCCCCCGAGUAUUUAUACGAGGUCUAAAUACGAGGCCCUAAAUAUGGUAUAAACAGCGUUCAUGUGUGAUAAGGAUGUGGAUAUUUUGAAUUAAACAUGGUUUUAUUUGGCUGGAUAAUUGCAUGAUAACCUCAUGCAAUUAUAUUGGUUUUGAUCCUGUCAAACAUGGAUGAUUUUUCGUGGACAUUUUAAAUAGGUACUCAUCCAAUUUAAGAUGAGGGCUGAUGGAAGAUUAAUCUGCGCAUGCAAACCACAUCAAAGAUCAAAUAUAAUCCUUUGAAGAUCAAGCCACGUCAAACACAUGGGAGAUUGAAAUUGGACUCUACUCAAGGAUCAAGCCACGUCAAGCAUGCAUGUCUCUAUAAAUAGGAGUGGUUGUGCAACAACAAAAGGACCUCCAACUCAACACACAAACUGCCAUGCUCAAAUCCUCGCUUUACGCGAAACCUCUCAAACAUCUUGAGAUUUUUUAUUUUAUUUUUCGCCAACACAUCUUCAGUUUGGAUAAAUAGCACUGUGAAGGCAACCGGCGAACAUCUUCAGUUUAGAUAAACAGCACUGUUGCCGUAGAAUCAGCCGACCGUGAAGCACCUUCAGUUUGGAUAAACAGCACUGAGACGGGGCCGACUGGUUAUCUAUCCAAGUCUUGGUCGAGAAUGAUUUUCAAAUCCUUAUUGGCAGAUGUCAUCUCGUUAGCCUUCUCGGCAAAAAGAUGUGUUACAAGUUACUACAUUCGGCACAUUAAAAGCCGAAUUUGAUAUUGAAUUUCGCAGAACUAGCAGCCUUGUAUUCAGGCUCUAGAACCCGAAGGUCAAGACGUGUUCCUUCCUCGGCUGCAGUCGCACGAUCGAGAAGUCAGACGCGCAUCCAACGCAACAUCAACAAAUUUAACUCUUCAACCGAGCUCGGCCAACGAGUUGGCACGCCCCGCAUACAACCGAAUGACGUAGUUAGCUUACUAAUUACUCGGCCUGCGCGCCACGUAGGCUUGGUAGUUUUUAGGGUCAACAGGAAGAUAUUCCUUUUUUUUUUUAAUUUUUUUUUUAUAAAAAUGAGAAUUAGUUGUGGGGUUCACACAACAUUGAACUUUAACGAUCCGAACCGUUUAUUUUUCAAGUUGUACCUCAUAGACCAUCAUUCAAAAAUAUUAGCCAAAUCGGUAAUAUUUAAGACAUCUAAUUGGGCUUAAAAAAAUAAACGAAUACUUUGUUAUAUAAGAAACAAUGAAAUUUGAUCUUGAUAAUUAAAUAGGCAAAUGGUUUCGAAUUGAAUUGAAUUUUUCCGAGGAUGAUCUAUGAAACAAAAUAGACAGUUCAGAUCGUUAAAAUUCAAUGUGGAGUGGGCCCCAUAACUAAUCCUCAUUUAAAAAAAUAAAUAAAUCUUUUUGCAUAAAGGGCCUGAUAUAUAUAACUAUUUUACCUACCUCUCAAUGUUUAUGUGACACUCGCUUUUACAUGGUUAAGCUCAUAUGGAAUUUUUGAGAACUCAUAUGAAUUUAAAUUUUUUCGAGUUGUGUGCGAUUCUAAUAGCACUUUGUGUUACAUAUAAUUCGCCCUAUUUCUCAUGUCAAUGUUCAUUCCGACACAAUGCAACAUACGAAAUUCAGUAGUCACUUAUGUUGUGUGAUAAAGAUGCAGAGAAUAAAAAUGGUAAAUUGACACUAAUGAUUUUGAGAAAGGUAUACCUUACUUCAUUGCCACCAAGAUUAACCGGAGAUAUUAGAUCAUAAGCGUAACUGGUCUUCAUCUUAGGGUACAAUGGACCAGUUAGAACAUAUAUUGGAACAGCUUCUAUUGAAGAUACAAAGGGAACCAUUCCCUUCUCAAACUGCACAACACACACAUUUAGUGAUCCUGACCCUUGAUUCACAUACAUGGCUUCAUGGUACAAUGGCCCUUCCGCCAUUGAUGCUUUGACCGUUGACCACUUUCGGCCGUUGAUACAAAGAUCAAACGGCGGAGGGCGGGAGAGACCAUCAUAGUCUCCGUAGUAGAAGCCCGCCCUGAUCAAGUACCGCUGAGUAGGUGCAUUGUAAGGCAAAACAUAACAAUUUUGCUGGUUUUGGUUAGGGAAUGAUCGGAGGGUGUUCAUUGCUUCAAGUGGUUGCUUUUGUGGAACUUGCUUGUUGAUGCCUGCCUUGGUGUAGUCAUUGUCUGUGACCCAUUAGAGUAAGUUUUAUCCCAACGUGUAGCAUUGCUACCGCAGUCAAUGUUCAGCCAUCUGAUUGUAACUGCGAUUUAAAAAGCAAUAAUCAAGAGCAAGUUUGAUGUACGCGGUCAAUCACAAUCUAAACUAUCGAUCAGGUGACUUUGUACUCGAAUGAAUAUAUAUGAACAAGAAUUGAGAGUUUAGUAACAUAACGACAUGACGGAGGAAAUAAAAAUUAUGCGUUGCAAGUUAGACGUACUAUGAGACGAAGCGCGGAAUAAAUGGAAGGCUAGAAGAAGCGCCGGUACCCAUAAAUUUGUAUUCAUAGAGAGUGGCUUGAGUUUUAGAAUUGAGAAUGAAUUUCAGUGAGGGAUGUUUGGUUUAUGAGGUUAGAUUUGAUUUAGUUAUGUGACUUAUGUCAAUGAAAAUACCCUCCCCUGGAUAUCUCCACCGCAGAGACUAAUAUUAUAACAUAUAUAUACACACACACACACUGCUGUGACAAAUAUAUACAUACAUGUCGCAGUGGCACUAUUUCUUGAAUUUAUCUCUGUUUCGUUAAGAAAUAUCGAAACCAACAUUGCAAACUUCAAACUUUUGAUCUAAAUAUAAUUAUUUAAUAAUUACCAAUGGGUUUCCAUAGAAAUUUAGUAAAAACAAGACUAGCUAGUGGCUUAACCACAACAAUUCCAUUCUUCUGGGGGUCGGAAAGACUCAUGAGGACAUUUUAGACUCUCUUGGCAACCAUCUUGUGAUCGAACCUAGAAUGUAUCGUAUAUAAAAUGGGCCGAUAAUUCGUUAAACCUACAAAAAAAAAAGUCAAAGACAUGUGAUAUGUAUUUUUACCACCUACAAAAGUAAGGAUAAAAACACUUUAAAUACUUGCAAGAGUACAAGGUAAUUGUAGUAUAAUCGGCUCUAGCAAGGUCGUUCUCUUCAGGGAUUGAAUGAAUAAUUUGUAUCUAAUCAAAUCUUAAUUAAUUACUUAAAACAAAGUUUUGGAAAAAGGUGAUUUUGUGAUUUCAAAUAAUAAAAACAAAUUUAAUAGAAAUAAAGUGACAAAAUAAAAUAAACUAAAAGAAAACAAGUUUUGAAAAUUAAAUUGUAAAAACCUAGGGUUCCGCCGUCACCUUACAAUCUUAUGUAAUUCUUUCAAUUACUUAUGAAUUACAAAUGCAUAUUUUGAAGCCUAGGUUUUCCUAAUAUAUGCCUACUUGGACCCCCAACAUAGAGCGUAUAUCAAACAUGCAACCCGUCUGUGUUAUUCAAAUCAAAUCUAAACAUGCAUGACUUAUUAAGCUUUGUGAAACCUUUUAAAAAACCAUACAACCCUUAAGACAUGGUAUUCAUCCUAAGUGAACUUGCACAUAUUAAUCACAAGAAGCAUUCGUCAAUUUCAGGGACUGACCUCUGACCAAAAUUGCAUCAAAUUAUUUUUCUAAAGAUCUUAAUGGUAGCUAAGCAUUAAGACAAAUAGAUAGUUUAAACCAGUGAUUAAUAAUUCAAACGUGCAUGCAUAAUAUCAUAACCAAAUUGAAAAGAAACUACAUAUUCUUGCUAAGGUUCGUAGCAUCACCCUAGCAAACGGAAUUUAGUUACAAGCAAUCAUACAACGAAAUAUUAUUAAAUAUAAGGAUAGAAAACACCUUCAAAAUAAACUUGAAUCCAAAAGCUUUCUAAAGUGUGCAUGCAUUUUUUUCCUAUCCCCCUAUCUUCUCUAAAAAAAACCAUAAUGGCUAAAAAGCCUUAUUUAUACUACUAGAAAAUAAAACCCUACCUAGAAAAAGUCUUAGAAUAAAACUAGGAAACCAAAUAAAUUAGGAAACAAAAUCCGACUAAUAAAAUUCACCCAAAAUCUGCGUAGUCUCAAAAUAGCCACGUUUCUGGAUCUUCGGGGAUUCAAAACAGGCCUAAAACGGCUAGAAUUAAAGCUUGAGAUGUCCCGAGCAUAAUUGUACAAUGCCUCGAACCCGAAAGACACCAUAUUGGACACCAAAAAACCCCAAGAAGCCCAAAACGUCACUUUGACAGCACUGUGCGCUGCUCGUUUAUUUGAUCGCCAUAGAUAAAGCGCUCGGUAUAAAAUUAUGAAACUUUGAUACAAUCAAUUCAACAGACUCACGAACAUCCUCCAAUUGGAAUCACUCCAAAAUUCAUCUGUUUGAUCACUUUUGGCUCCGGAGGAAGUCGAAUAUCCUACAUUAAGAAUAUAAAUCAAAGUAUCAAAAUUCUACUAAAAUAACCAAUAAAUUAAUACUAAGAAUAAGGUAAAAUAUAUAGUAUAAUAUAGACUCAUCAACGUGUUAAAGUAAAAAUAUGGGUUAGGGGUCUUAGGCAGUUAACUAGAGCAGUGUGUCAACCCCUUAGCAUUCAAGUUUGAAACUCUUUUUUUUUUUUUUAAUUUGAAUAGUUUAUAUUCUUUGUUUGACAAGACAAAAUAUAUUUUAAAGUACUCAAUUUUAUGGUUUUUAAUUUGAAUAGUUUAUAUUCUUUGUUUGACAAGACAAAAUAUAUUUUAAAGUACUCAAUUUUAUGGGAAGAGGUAAUCGAACUUGGGUGCAAAUGGUUAGACCCUCCCAACUGAUGAUACAAAGCCAGAGAUUUGGUCCAAAAUUUGGGGUUUGGUUGGGUUCAAAAGCAAUGGUACAUGCGUAUCAGAUUAGGCAUAUUUACCAAUCGACAUCCAUAUUUGUUGAUUUGAAUUAAACAUAACAAAACAACACUAAUAUUCCUCAUAAAACAUGAUCAUUUUUCUUUAAAUUAAAUAAGACAUAGCACUUUCCUAUAGCUUCAUAGAUUGUAUGUAAAUAAUUCACUAAGCACAGAACAGGAAUCCCUCUCAAGUUUUAUUUCUCCUCUCAGUUUUCAUGCCUCCACUUUUUCAUUUCCGGCUUCAGCACGAUAAGAUUCCUUGCACCCAUUCAACAAUUCAGAUAACCUCGCGGCCAAACUUUGCUUUGCUGCAGGAGAAACACCGUGCUUUCCAACGAUCGACUCUAGAACUGCCUCGGAAAGUAGUUUGUUUUCUAUCACCGUGUUUGCAGCUUCAGGUACAGAUGCAUCUCUAGAGAAGCUAAUCUGUGGCGAAAGCAAGGGGGAAAGAUGUCAAAAUCCGAUGUAAACUACAGAAGUAACCAUCCAAAAGUAGGAUUACUAACCGUUAGUGAUCCUUUGGGAGAUUGCGUGAAAAGAAUGGAGGCGCCGGGUGGGAAGUUUUGAUCUUUGAAGACCUCAAGGAACUUUUCAAUGGCUUUGCCUUCUGCAUCAGUGUAAAUUCCGAUUGACUUCCAAAAGGCAACGCAAUUCUCCGAAACUUUGUCAGAGUAUUGCUGGCCUGUGAGUGGCAGUAUCGUUGUCACUUGAAUGAAUUUCUCAAACGGACCUACAAAAGGAUAGCGAAGAUCAUAAACCGCGCUACAAAACUAUAGUCAUAUCUUUAGUAACUGUUUCCUAUGCCUCAAGUAAUCACCAUAACCAGAAGAUAGCACUACAUUUUGAGAGAUUCAUUCAUUCUAAUUGGCUGGUCAGGACUAAAUUACCACCAUAACCAUGAGCAUACAUAAGUUUAAAAAUGAGAGUAUAACUCAAGAAAUCUACGACAUUUGUUGAAUGUACAGAUCUAUAUCGGCAACUGAGAGAAGGGCGGGCCACAGGGGAUGAAUAAUGUAACAAUAUUCAACCAGUCGUUAAAACAGCGAAGAAAUCCGUGUUACCUGUAACGAUGUCCCUGAAGAACUCAACGGACUCCGUCAACUCCUCGGCCGUCUUACCCUUCCACUUAACGGCGAGCAGAGGCACGGCGUUUUCCUCCAAGUACACUCCGAUCGCCGUGAACUUCACGAAGUUCCCCUGAAUCUCCAGCCCCCUCACCCCUGCGCACGUUAGCAACCAAAAUACCGUCAAUCGGAACCAAAAGCAAGCAAAAAACAUUCAAACAAUCAGAAUCGCAGAUAUAAGCGGCGGAGAUGCAAAGUUUACAGACCUGCGCCUCCGAGGAACAGAGUGUUGGAGGAGCCCGGAGGUUUGACGGACGGUGGAAACGCAGUCGUCUCGACCUGGAGUCCGGCGAGCGAUGGCGUUGGAGCCAUUUGACAAUUUUGUUGUUAUUGUGUAGAGAGAGAGAUGGGGUUUGCUUUCGGAAACGGUGGAUUUAAAUAGAGAUGGAAAGUGGACGGGAGAGACCCGCUUCUCUGGGAAUAGAGAUGGAAAGUGGACGGGAGAGACCCGCUUCUCUGCCCUCCCACUUUUCAUACACACUCAUCGUUUCUGUUUUAUGAUCACGGUUAAGCUAUAUUAAAAUUUUAUAUUAAUCUUUUUAUAAAAAUAAUAAUAAUAUAAAAAUUUAACCCAACUUAAUACCUUAAUUGUAAUCGUAUAAAUAAAAAAAAGAUAAGAAUGUAUAAAAAAUAAAAGGACAGAGAGAGUCCAGGUCCGGACGGUAGAGGGUUUGAUGAGUAAGAAGAGGCGGUUGCGUGGGAGCCUUAAAGACGUGCGGGCGGCUGGAGGUAAGUCUGGGAGGUGUCCACAAACUGAUAGUCUGGUACCCAGAAAUAGAGAGAGAGAGAGAGAGAGAGUAAAAGAUUGUAAAGAACUUUUCUAAGGUAAAAAGAUAGUGAUUGGUCCAUCUUGGGUGAUGUGAUCAAUUAGUUUUAAUUAAUAGCUAAAAUAUCGAUAAUAUUGAAAAUAUCAGUAAUCUAAAAAUACGGAAAUUUUAAUGGAAAUAUCGAAAUAUUAUCGAUAUCGAUAAAAAUUGAAUAAAAAUCAUGAAAAUUGUAAGAAAACAUUGUAAGUGUAGAAAAUAUGUAGUAAUUAAUUAAAGAAGUUUAAACAUAUCAUAAUCAUUUAUAUAUUGUAUAACACAUAAACCUUAGGUGAAUUUAGAGUAAAUAAAUUUUUUAUUUGUUGAAAUUCCUUGAUAUUUUUUGCUAAAUUUUAGAAACUGUGUGUUUACAAAUAUAUUGAAGCAACUUUUUUUAUUUAACAAUUAUUAUUUAUGAAAUUUGAACUUAUAUAUCUUCUUUUUUUCAAAUAAAGUGAAAUUUAAGUAUAAUUAGACCAAAAUAUUAAAACUUAUUUAAUUUUUGUUAAAAUAAAUAAUAAAUAAUAAGGCAAAUAAAUAUUAAAAACAAAAAACAUUUAAGACAAUAGUUGCCAGGAGAUACCGGCAAUCCUUUAUUACGCGCGUUCCACUUCAGUACAUACAUCGCCACACACAGAGGAAUUAGAUCCGCUUCGGACCUUAGUGUGUUGAGCUUAAGGAUCAAAUUAUCUAGACCGUUGAUUAGUGUGUAAAAGAAAUCGGAACUGUUGAUUUUGUAUGAUAUCAGGAAAAUGAGUUAAUAAGGAUCUUGAGAUUGAAUUUAUAUGGUCCAGAUGAAUUGAUAUCUAGGCUCCGAACACUAAGAUCCGAAUCGGAUCCAAUUCCACAUAGAAGCACACGCGUUUUGUCUCCUUUCCUAAAUCAGCCCUAAUUCCAAUCUAAUCCAAUCCGCACACGAACCUCAAACCUUAAUUCCCAAAAUUUGUCCUCUAAUUCUUGCCAAAGCCCUCAAUUUCUCCCUUUUCCAAUCCCACCAUCUCCUCGUCCCAAACCCCAACCCUAAUCCAGAAGCAGAAUGCUUCUUACUCCGGGUCAUUAUCCUCGCCACCUCUCAUCCCCUUCGCCCUCUGCAAAUUCCGAUGCUUCCAUCCAAAACCCUACGAAUUCCACCCAAAUCACGCCCAAGAACCCUAAAAGCCAUCCACAGGUCCUCGACAAGGACACCUAUGUUGCGCCGAUCGAGAAGAUCAUCGAAAUUGACUUCUUUCACGAUAUUUCCAAGCUUCGAGACCGCCUCGACUAGCUCGAAGCGAUUAACACCCACGACUCAGUUCAGAUCCGAGAUGCCCAGUUGAAGAUCAUCGAGCGCCGCGGAAAGAAUGUAACUCAUAAUCCUGACCCUAAUGGUAGAAUCCCUGUGUUUCCCCCUUCCCCACUCAUUCGAACUUUCUCCCUCAUUCAUCUUCUUGUUUCUUCUCCCUCUAUCUCUGUAACUCUCCUUCCCGGAGCACAAGCACAACACACCCACACCCCACCGUGACCUCCACCACAGUGGCACACACUCCGGUGAACACCAUUACCACCUAUGGACCAUUCCUCCUCCCUUUCUCAACUCCCAGCGAGCACCAUUAGGCAAGAGGAGGCCUUGUUUGUUUUGGGAUCCGGAGAAAAGGGAUUGCUCAUUUUGAUGGGUUUGAGCGUGGAUUGCAGAGAGAGGCACUGAUCUUGGCAACUACGACGAUGGAGCCUCAACUGCAAUUUUGCGACGACGGAGCCUCGGCGAUAUUAUCGAUAAUAUCGCGAUAUAUUGAUGAUAAUUAAGUGGAUAAGUGUGAAAAUAUCGCCCUUUCAAAAAAACGAUAUUAUUGGCGAUAUUUCGCCGAUAAUAUCGAUAUUUUAGACCUUGGUUUUAAUUAUGAAAACAAUGAUUUAAUUUUGCGGUCCUCAAAGGGCAAAGAAGAAGAAACCAACUUUUCUAGGAUCAAAGGGUAGACAGCUACUUCUUAAAGGGUCAUCAAAUGGUUUUAAUUAUGAAAACCACCCACUUGCAUGGGGCUUUUUAUAUUUUUAAAGUUUGGGAUGUAUAGUAUAUGCAUAUAAUUUUUUUUUUUGAUAGAAAAAGAAAAUAUUAUAGCGAAAAAUCUCUUACACAGCUAGUACUAAUACAGUCAAAUUGAAAAGUUAGGUGAGCAUCCACAGGGUGACAAGCAUCCUAAAUACAAAGAUUCGAACAAUUAAGACCAAUAGACGCCAAAGCAUCCCAAAUACAUAAAAAAUUCACAUAUGUAUGUUCUUCUAUAAGAAAUAACAUAUUAUUCAAUAAUUAUUUACACAUGAUCAAUGGUGGAUCCAGGAUUUUAACAUAGGGUGGUCCUAAUAUACAAGUUCUAGAAGAAAAAAAAUCCGACUAAUAAAAUUUGCUCAAAAUCUGCAUAGGCUCAAAACAGCCACAUUUCCGGAUCUUCAGUGCUCCAAAACAGGCCCAAAAUGGCUAGAAUUAAAGCUUGAGAUGUCCCGAAGAUAAUUGUAUAGGGCCUCGAACCCAAAAGACACCAUAUUGGCUACCAAAAAACCCAAAACGUCACUUUGACAACACUGCACGUUGCCCAUUUAUUUGAUCACCAUAAAUAAACCGCUUAGUAUAAAAUUAUGAAACUUUGAUACGAUCAAUUCAACAGACUCACAAACAUCCUCCAAUUGGAAUCACUCCAAAAUUCAUUUGUUUGAUCACUUUUUGCCUCAGAGGAAGUCGAAUGUCCUACAUUAAGAUCAAAUUAUCAAAAUUCUACCAAAAUAACCAAUAAAUUAAUACUAAGAAUAGGGUAAAAUAUAUAGUAUAUUAUAGACUCAUCAACGUGUUAGAGUAAAAAUAUGGGUUAGGGGCCUUAGGCAGUUAACUAGAGCAGUGUGUCAGCCCCUUAGCAUUCAAGUUUGAAACUCUUUCUUCUUAAAUUUGAGUAGUUUAUAUUUUUUUGUUUGACAAGAAGAAAUAUAUUCUAAAGUACUCGAUUUUAUGGGAAAAGGGAAUCGAACUUGGAUGCAAAUAGUUAGACCCUCCCAACUGGUUGACACAAAGACAGAUUUGGUCCCAAAUUUGGGGUUUGGCUGGGUUCGAAAGCAAUGUUACAGGCAUAUCAGAUUAGGUAUAUUUACCAAUCGACAUCUAUAUUUGUUGAUUUGAAUUAAACAUAUAACAAUACAACACUAAUAUUUCUCAUAAAACAUGAUCAUUUUUCUUUAAAUUAAAUACGACAUAGCACUUUCCUAUAGCUUCAUAGAUUGUAUGUAAAUAAUUCACUAAACACAGAAUAGGAAUCCCUCUCAAGUUUUAUUUCUCCUCUCUCAGUUUUCAUGCCUCCACUUUUUCAUUUCCGGCUUCAGCACCAUUAGAUUCCUUGCACCCAUUCAACAAUUCGGAUAACCUCGCGGCCAAACUUUGCUUUGCUGCAGGAGAAACACCGUGCUUUCCAACGAUCGACUCUAGAACUGCCUCGGAAAGUAGUUUGUUUUCUAUCACCGCAUUUGCAGCUUCAGCUACGGAUGCAUUUCUAGAGAAGCUAAUCUGUGGCGAAAGCGAGAGAGAAAGUUGUCAAAAAUCCGAUGUAAACUACAGAAGUAACCAUCCAAAAGUAGGAUUACUAAAGUAGGAUUACUAACCGUUAGUGAUCCUUUGGGAGAUUGUGUGAAAAGAAUGGAAGCACCGGGUGGGAAAUUUUGAUCUUUGAAGACCUCAAGGAACUUUUCAAUGGCUUUGCCUUCUGCAUCAGUGUAAAUUCCGACUGACUUCCAAAAGACAACGCAAUUCUCCGAAACUUUGUCAGAGUAUUGCUGGCCUGUCAGUGGCAAUAUCGUUGUCACUUGAAUGAAUUUCUCAAACGGACCUACAAAAGGAUAGCGAAUAUCAUAAAUCACGCUACAAAACCCAAGUCAUAUCUUUAGUAACUGUUUCUUAUGCCUCAAGUAAUCAUCAUAACCAGAACAUAGCACUAUAUCUUGAGAGAUUCAUUCAUUCUAAUUGGCUAGUCAGGACUAAAUUACCACCAUAAGCACACAUAAAUGUACAAACUUAGAAUACAACUUGAAAAAUUUACAACAUUCAUCGACCACGACAGAUCUAUAUCGGCCUCUGAGAGAACGGUGGGCAGUAGGAUUGCCUCAGUUUGCCAUGACUACCAAUCAUUCUAAAACGGCUCCACCUUAAGAUGCAGGGCAUGAGCAAUAUCUACACUUUCAACAGCAUCAACAAGAGCUCAAAUCAAUUUACCAAAAGAUACAGAAGGCAUCCAUUUGAAGAUUAAUAUGAUUAUAGUUUGAAUCUGACCGUGCAACCGGACUAUGAUAAAUAGAAGGGAAGAUAUAUAUGAAACCAACUUAUCUUUAACAAGUCAUCCACUUGUGUGAACCUUUUUUAAUGUGAAAAUGUACUUAUGAAAAGGUACGGAUAAAGGGUCAAACAUAUAUAAGUUAAAUAAAAUUGUUAAAUAAAGAGUCGAAAAUAUGUAUUCAUAGGUCGAACAUCAAUGAAUUUUGCUCCAAAAGAAGUCAAAAGUUAACUUAAACUCUAAAUUUGACUUAUUUCAUCUCUAAUACACUGAAAAAAAUUAGUUAUAUAUAUGAAUAAUUUUUCGUUCUAUCUGGUAAAUUUAGCUAAAAUUGGUUUCACCAUAGCAUGCAAUUUUAUUCCUUUGCUAAUUAUAACACGACAAAGUAACAAAUUUGCAUUGGUAACUGGAAUUUACUGUCAAAAUUCAAACGGUUGUUAAAACAGCAAAGAAAUCCCCGGUACCUGUAACGAUGUCCCUGAAGAACUCAACGGACUCCAUCAACUCCUCGGCUGUCUUACCCUUCCACUUAACGGCGAGCUGAGGCACGGCGUUAUCCUCCAAGUACACUCCGAUUGCCGUGAACUUCACGAAGUUCCCCUGAAUCUCCAGCCCCCUCACCCCUGCGCAUGUUAGGAAGCAAAGUACCGUCAAUCAAAACCAAAAGCAACAAACAAUCAUAAUUACGGAUAUAAGCGCCGGACAUGCAAAGUUUACAAACCUGCGCCGCCGAGGAACAGAGUGUUGGAGGAGCCCGGAGGUUUGACGGACGGUGGAAACGCAGUCGUUUCGACCUGAAGUCCGGCGAGCGACGGUGGUGGAGCUAUUUGACAAUCUUUCUCAUUUCCGGCUUUGGCAUCUUUAGAUUCAUUACACCCGUUCAACAAUUUGGAUAACCUUUCGGCCAAACUUUGCUUUGCUGCAGGGGAAACACCGUGCUUUCCAACGAUCGACUCUAGAACUGCCUCGGAAAGUAGUUUGUUUUCUAUCACCGUGUUUGCAGCUUCAGGUACGGAUGCAUCUCUAGAGAAGCUAAUCUGUGGCGAAAGCAAGGGGGAAAGAUGUCAAAAUCCGAUGUAAACUACAGACGUAACCAUCCAAAAGUAGGAUUACUAACCGUUAGUGAUCCUUUGGGAGAUUGCGUGAAAAGAAUGGAGGCGCCGGGUGGGAAGUUUUGAUCUUUGAAGACCUCAAGGAACUUUUCAAUGGCUUUGCCUUCUGCAUCAGUGUAAAUUCCGAUUGACUUCCAAAAGGCAACGCAAUUCUCCGAAACUUUGUCAGAGUAUUGCUGGCCCUGUCAGUGGGCAGUAUGUUGUCACUUGAAUGAAUUUCUCAAAGGACCUACAAAAAGGAUAGCGAAGAUCAUAAACGCGCUACAAAACUAUAGUCAUAUCUUUAGUAACUAACUGUUUCCUAUGCCUCAAGUAAUCACCAUAACCAGAAGAUAGCACUACAUUUUGAGAGAUUCAUUCAUUCUAAUUGGCUGGUCAGGACUAAAUUACCACCAUAACCAUGAGCAUACAUAAAUUUAAAAAUGAGAGUAUAACUCAAGAAAUCUACGACAUUUGUUGAAUGUACAGAUCUAUAUCGGCAACUGAGAGAAGGGCGGGCUAUAGGAUUGCCUAGGUUUGGCAUGACUACCGAGCAAUCUAAAACGGCUCCGCCCUAAGAUGCAGGGCAUGAAUAAAGGUCGAACCCAGUGCACAAGGCUCCCGCUUUGCGCAGGGUCUGGGAGAGGUGAAUGUCGGCUAGUCUUACCCCCAUUUAUGGAGAGGCUGCUCCCAAAUCUCGAACCCGAGACCUACCGCUCAUGGGCAUCGCACAAGUGCGACCUCUAUGCAGGGCAUGAAUAAUGUAACAAAAUUCAACCAGUCGUUAAAACAGCGAAGAAAUCCGUGUUACCUGUAACAAUGUCCCUGAAGAACUCAACGGACUCCGUCAACUCCUCGGCCGUCUUACCCUUCCACUUAACGGCGAGCAGAGGCACGGCGUUUUCCUCCAAGUACACUCCGAUCGCCGUGAACUUCACGAAGUUCCCCUGAAUCUCCAGCCCCCUCACCCCUGCGCACGUUAGCAACCAAAAUACCGUCAAGCGGAAGCAAAAGCAAGCAACAAACAUUCAAACAAUCAGAAUCGCGGAUAUAAGCGCCGGAGAUGCGAAGUUACAAACCUGCGCCGCCGAGGAACAGAGUGUUGGGGGAGCCCGGAGGUUUGACGGACGGUGGAAACGCAGUCGUCUCGACCUGGAGUCCGGCGAGCGAUGGCGUUGGAGCCAUUUGACAAUUUUGUUGUUAUUGUGUAGAGAGAGAGAUGGGGUUUGCUUUCGGAAACGGUGGGUUUAAAUAGAGAUGGAAAGUGGUGGGUCCAUUGAGUGACGGGAGAGGGUUUGAUGAGUAAGAUGCGGCGGUUGCGUGGGAGCCUUAAAGACGUGCGGGCGGCUUGGGGGAAGCGUCAACAAACUCAUAUUCUGGAACUUACUACCCCAGAGAGAGAGAGAGAGAGAGAGAGAGAGAGAGAGAGAAUUUAAGGUUAAAGGGCAAAGAAGAAGAGACCCACUUCUCUUAUGUCAAAAGCUGGUAA